UGGUAGAUGCACCCUAAUUGACGCCCUCAGUUAUAGACUGAGGGUUUUUUAU
rnacentral:sRNA from 1 species